UACGGAAGGCAGCAGUGGGGAAUAUUGCACAAUGGGCGCAAGCCUGAUGCAGCCAUGCCGCGUGUAUGAAAAAGGCCUUCGGGUUGUAAAGUACUUUCAGUCGUGAGGAAGGUGUUAAGGUUAAUAACCUUAGCAAUUGACGUUAGCGACAGAAGAAGCACCGGCUAACUCCGUGCCAGCAGCCGCGGUAAUACGGAGGGUGCGAGCGUUAAUCGGAAUUACUGGGCGUAAAGGGCACGCAGGCGGUUAAUUAAGUUGGAUGUGAAAUCCUCGGGCUUAACCUGGGAAUGGCAUUCAAGACUGGUUAGCUAGAGUCUUGUAGAGGGGGUAGAAUUCCAUGUGUAGCGGUGAAAUGCGUAGAGAUGUGGAGGAAUACCGGUGGCGAAGGCGGCCCCUGGACAAAGACUGACGCUCAUGUGCGAAAGCGUGGGGAGCAAACAGGGAUUAGAUACC
rnacentral:rRNA from 1 species